rnacentral:rRNA from 1 species
AGAGUUUGAUCCUGGCUCAGGACGAACGCUGGCGGCGUGCUUAACACAUGCAAGUCGAGCGGAAAGGCCCUUUCGGGGGUACUCGAGCGGCGAACGGGUGAGUAACACGUGAGUAACCUGCCCUGGACUUUGGGAUAACCCUCGGAAACGGGGGCUAAUACCGGAUAUGACAUGCGCUCGCAUGGGUGUGUGUGGAAAGUUUUUCGGUCUGGGAUGGGCUCGCGGCCUAUCAGCUUGUUGGUGGGGUGAUGGCCUACCAAGGCGACGACGGGUAGCCGGCCUGAGAGGGCGACCGGCCACACUGGGACUGAGACACGGCCCAGACUCCUACGGGAGGCAGCAGUGGGGAAUAUUGCACAAUGGGCGGAAGCCUGAUGCAGCGACGCCGCGUGAGGGAUGACGGCCUUCGGGUUGUAAACCUCUUUCAGCAGGGACGAAGCGGAAGUGACGGUACCUGCAGAAGAAGCGCCGGCCAACUACGUGCCAGCAGCCGCGGUAAGACGUAGGGCGCGAGCGUUGUCCGGAUUUAUUGGGCGUAAAGAGCUCGUAGGCGGCUUGUCGCGUCGACUGUGAAAACCCGCGGCUCAACCGCGGGCCUGCAGCCGAUACGGGCAGGCUAGAGUUCGGUAGGGGAGACUGGAAUUCCUGGUGUAGCGGUGAAAUGCGCAGAUAUCAGGAGGAACACCGGUGGCGAAGGCGGGUCUCUGGGCCGAUACUGACGCUGAGGAGCGAAAGCGUGGGGAGGAACAGGAUUAGAUACCCUAGUAGUCC